rnacentral:misc_RNA from 1 species
UCCUUGCUGUUGAAAACCCGCUUGAUCAAAACCCGCUCAGCCAAGACUCCCAUAGGUGCCAUCAGGAGAGGCACAAGCGCCAGCAUCACCCAGAAAUUCAAACCUAACGCGCCGAGCGAAAUAGCGCCAAAUGCUCCAAUGGCAUAGAACUCGCCGUGACUCAUGUUGAUGACAUCGAGGAGACCAAAAAUAAUGGUCAAACCCAACGCGACAAGAGUAACAGCUAUGCCCAACGCAAGACC